AUUGAACGCUGGCGGCAGGCCUAACACAUGCAAGUCGAACGAGUGGCGGACGGGUGUGUAAUGUCUGGGAAUCCGCCCGAUGGAGGGGGAUAACUACCGGAAACGGUAGCUAAUACCGCAUACCAUCGGAUGUGCCCAGAUGGGUUUAGCUAGUAGGUGGGGUAAUGGCUCACCUAGGCGACGAUCCCUAGCUGGUCUGGGAGGAUGACCAGCCACACUGGAACUGAGACACGGUCCAGACUCCUGCGGGAGGCAGCAGUGGGGAAUAUUGCACAAUGGGCGCAAGCCUGAUGCAGCCAUGCCGCGUGUAUGAAGAAGGCCUUCGGGUUGUAAAGUACUUUCAGCGGGGAGGCGUUACCCGCAGAAGAAGCACCGGCUAACUCCGUGCCAGCAGCCGCGGUAAUAC
rnacentral:rRNA from 1 species